AGUGAACGCUGGCGGCGUGCCUAAUACAUGCAAGUCGAACGGAGUGGCGCACGGGGGAGUAAUAUAUAGCAAAUUUGCUCCUUGCUGGAGGACAACAGUUAGAAAUGACUGCUAAUACUCCAUAGCAAGGGAUGAGACUAUAGCGUAUCAGCUAGUCGGUGGGGUAACGGCCUACCGAGGCCAUGACGCGUAACUGGUCGGAGAGGAUGAUCAGUGAAAUUUGAAGUGAGACACGGUCCAAACUCCUACGGGAGGGAGCAGUAGGUAAUAUUGCGCAAUGGGGGAAGCCCUGAAGCAGCAACGCCGCGUGGAGGAUGACACUUUUCGGAGAGUAAGCUCCUUUUGUUAGGGAAGCGGUACCUAACGAAUAAGCACCGGCUAACUCCGUGCCAGCCGCCGCGGUAAUAC
rnacentral:rRNA from 1 species